GACGAACGCUGGCGGCGCGCCUAACACAUGCAAGUCGAACGAGCGAGAGAGAGCUUGCUUUCUCGAGCGAGUGGCGAACGGGUGAGUAACGCGUGAGGAACCUGCCUCAAAGAGGGGGACAACAGUUGGAAACGACUGCUAAUACCGCAUAAGCCCACGGUGCCGCAUGGCACAGAGGGAAAAGGAGCAAUCCGCUUUGAGAUGGCCUCGCGUCCGAUUAGCUAGUUGGUGAGGUAAUGGCCCACCAAGGCGACGAUCGGUAGCCGGACUGAGAGGUUGAACGGCCACAUUGGGACUGAGACACGGCCCAGACUCCUACGGGAGGCAGCAGUGGGGAAUAUUGCACAAUGGGGGAAACCCUGAUGCAGCGACGCCGCGUGGAGGAAGAAGGUCUUCGGAUUGUAAACUCCUGUUGUUGGGGAAGAUAAUGACGGUACCCAAAAAGGAAGUGACGGCUAACUACGUA
rnacentral:rRNA from 1 species